GGCGAUGAUGCAUAGCCGAGUUGAGAGACUGAUCGGCCACAUUGGGACUGAGACACGGCCCAAACUCCUACGGGAGGCAGCAGUAGGGAAUCUUCCGACCAAUGGACGCAAGUCUGAUGGAGCAACGCCGCGUGAGUGAAGAAGGGUUUCGGCUACGUAAAGCUCUGUUGUUGGUGAAGAAGGACAGGGGGUAGUAACUGACCUUUGUUUGACGGUAAUCAAUUAGAAAGUCACGGCUAACUACGUGCCAGCAGCCGCGGUAAAU
rnacentral:rRNA from 1 species